AUUGAACGCUGGCGGCAGGCUUAACACAUGCAAGUCGAACGAGUGGCGGACGGGUGAGUAAUGCUUGGGAAUCUAGCUUAUGGAGGGGGAUAACUACGGGAAACUGUAGCUAAUACCGCGUACCAUAGGAUGAGCCCAAGUGGGAUUAGGUAGUUGGUGAGGUAAAGGCACACCAAGCCGACGAUCUCUAGCUGGUCUGCAACGAUGACAACCCACACUGGGACUGAGACAUGGCCCAGUCUCCACCGUGCGGCAGCAGUGGGGUUUAUUGCGCAAUGGGGGCAACCUGACGCAGCCAUGCCGCUUGAAUGAAGAAGGCCUUCGGGUUGUAGAGUUCUUUCGGUAGCGAGGCGUUAACUACAGAAGAAGCACCGGCUAACUCCGUGCCAGCAGCCGCGGUAAUUC
rnacentral:rRNA from 1 species